GAUGAACGCUAGCGGCAGGCCUAAUACAUGCAAGUCGAACGGUGUCUUCGGACAUAGUGGCGCACGGGUGCGUAACACGUAUGCAACCUACCUUACAUUGGGGGAUAGCCUUUCGAAAGGGAGAUUAAUACCGCAUAAGACAGUAGUCUGGCAUCAGACAGCUGUUAAAGAUUUAUCGAUGUAAGCUGGGCAUGCGUCCAAUUAGUUAGUUGGCGAGGUAACGGCUCACCAAGACUAUGAUUGGUAGGGGAACUGAGAGGUCAAUCCCCCACACUGGCACUGAGACACGGGCCAGACUCCGACGGGAGGCAGCAGUAGGGAAUAUUGGGCAAUGGACGCAAGUCUGACCCAGCCAUGCCGCGUGCAGGAAGAAGGCGUUAUGCGUUGUAAACUGCUUUUAUACAGGAAGAAACGACUCUUGCGAGAGGCAUUGACGGUACUGUAUGAAUAAGCACCGGCUAACUCCGUGCCAGCCGCCGCGGUAACAC
rnacentral:rRNA from 1 species